UACGUAGGGGGCAAGCGUUGUCCGGAAUCAUUGGGCGUAAAGAGCGUGUAGGCGGCCCGAUAAGUCCGCUGUGAAAGUCCAGGGCUCAACCCUGGAAUGCCGGUGGAUACUGUCGGGCUCGAAUCCGGAAGAGGUGAGUGGAAUUCCUGGUGUAGCGGUGAAAUGCGCAGAUAUCAGGAGGAACACCAAUGGCGAAAGCAGGUAACUGGACUAUUACUGACACUCAGCUGCGAAAGCUAGGGGAGCAAACAGG
rnacentral:rRNA from 1 species